AUUGAACGCUGGCGGCAUGCUUUACACACGCAAGUCGAACGGUAACAGGCCGCAAGGUGCUGACGAGUGGCGAACGGGUGAGUAAUGCAUCGGAACGUGCCCAGUCGUGGGGGAUAACUAUCCGAAAGGAUAGCUAAUACCGCAUACGAUCUGCGGAUGAAAGCGGGGGACCUUCGGGCCUCGCGCGAUUGGAGCGGCCGAUGUCAGAUUAGGUAGUUGGUGGGGUAAAGGCUCACCAAGCCAACGAUCUGUAGCUGGUCUGAGAGGACGACCAGCCACACUGGGACUGAGACACGGCCCAGACUCCUACGGGAGGCAGCAGUGGGGAAUUUUGGACAAUGGGCGCAAGCCUGAUCCAGCAAUGCCGCGUGCAGGAAGAAGGCCUUCGGGUUGUAAACUGCUUUUGUACGGAACGAAACGGCUCUGGUUAAUACCUGGGGCUAAUGACGGUACCGUAAGAAUAAGCACCGGCUAACUACGUGCCAGCAGCCGCCGUAA
rnacentral:rRNA from 1 species